rnacentral:rRNA from 1 species
GACGAACCGUGCGAACGUUGUUCGGAAUCACUGGGCUUAAAGGGCGCGUAGGCGGUUCCGCAAGUCCGGGGUGAAAGCCCCCAGCUCAACUGGGGAAGUGCCUCGGAUACUGCGGAGCUCGAGCGAGGUAGGGGCAGCGGGAACUUCCGGUGGAGCGGUGAAAUGCGUUGAUAUCGGAAGGAACGCCGGUGGCGAAAGCGCGCUGCUGGACCUCUCCUGACGCUGAGGCGCGAAAGCCAGGGGAGCAAACGGG